rnacentral:rRNA from 1 species
CCUACGGGAGGCAGCAGUGGGGGAUAUUGCGCAAUGGGCGAAAGCCUGACGCAGCGACGCCGCGUGAGGGAUGAAGGUCUUCGGAUCGUAAACCUCUGUCAGCAGGGAAGAACGGUCACUGUGCUAAUCAGCAGUGAAUUGACGGUACCUGCAAAGGAAGCACCGGCUAACUCCGUGCCAGCAGCCGCGGUAAUACGGAGGGUGCGAGCGUUAAUCGGAAUUACUGGGCGUAAAGCGGUCGUAGGCGGUGUGGCAAGUCAAGGGUGAAAGCCCCGCGCUCAACGUGGGAACUGCCUUUGGAACUGGGAAACUGGAGUGUGUGAGAGGCUAGUGGAAUUCCAGGUGUAGGAGUGAAAUCCGUAGAUAUCUGGAGGAACAUCAGUGGCGAAGGCGACUAUCUGGCACAUAACUGACGCUGAGGAGCGAAAGCGUGGGUAGCAAACAGGAUUAGAUACCCCUGUAGUC